GGCCUGCUAGCUCAGUUGGUUAGAGCGUCGUGCUAAUACACGGGUAAUUCCUCCUGUUUACGCGAAGGUCCUGGGUUCGACCCCCAUGUGGGCCA
rfam:Jaapia argillacea MTCL 33604 unplaced genomic scaffold JAAARscaffold_4, whole genome shotgun sequence.